GUGGUGGCUGUCGAUCCCGCGCUGCAAGGACACGAACCAGGGCGAUCUCCUGCCUUCUAUAACAUUCCUUUUCAUCUCCAAGGCGUUUUUAUUUUCUCUUGUGAAGCAUUGUAUGGACAACUUCUCAUCACUGCUUACUCUUGACUGC